GAAGCAUGAGGACUAUAAGGUAAAACAAUUCCCACCUUAUUUUUGUUUCACAGAGAAUCUCAUUGACAUAAACGUCAGUAAAGAACAUACCCUAUCUCGUUUUAAAACUAAUAAGACUAAUAUCCAGAUCUCAUGAUAAUGAGUCUUUAGAAUAACAGUAACCAUCGUUGAAUUUAGCAACAAAUUAAAUAGGUUAUUGGUGUUUUUUUCCCUCUAAAUAACUUCAAAUAAUGUUCUACUGAUGAACUCAAUUUUUUUGAUGCUUUUUAGUUCAAUGGUUUGGCAUGGCUCU
rnacentral:misc_RNA from 1 species